rnacentral:snRNA from 1 species
GUGCUCACGUCAGCAGCACGUAUACUAAAAUUGGAAUGAUACAGAGAAGAUUAGCAUUCAUCUGGGCCACAGGCAGACAGUAUGGCAGGCAGAGACAAAGCAAAGUACA